AACCGCGAGGUUAAGCCAAUCCCACAAAUCUGUUCUCAGUUCGGAUCGCAGUCUGCAACUCGACUGCGUGAAGCUGGAAUCGCUAGUAAUCGCGGAUCAGCAUGCCGCGGUGAAUACGUUCCCGGGCCUUGUACACACCGCCCGUCACACCACGAGAGUUUGUAACACCCGAAGUCGGUGAGGUAACCUUUUAGGAGCCAGCCGCCGAAGGUGGGACAGAUGAUUGGGGUGAAGUCGUAACAAGGUAGCCGUAG
rnacentral:rRNA from 1 species